rnacentral:rRNA from 1 species
AAUGAACGCUAGCGGCAGGCUUAACACAUGCAAGUCGAGGGGUAGAGGAAGCUUGCUUCCUUGAGACCGGCGCACGGGUGCGUAACGCGUAUGCAACCUACCUUUUACAGAGGGAUAGCCCAGAGAAAUUUGGAUUAAUACCUCAUAGUAUAUAGUCUUCGCAUGUUGACUAUAUUAAAGUUCCAACGGUAAAGGAUGGGCAUGCGUCCUAUUAGCUAGAUGGUAAGGUAACGGCUUACCAUGGCAACGAUAGGUAGGGGUCCUGAGAGGGCGAUCCCCCACACAGGUACUGAGACACGGACCAGACUCCUACGGGAGGCAGCAGUGAGGAAUAUUGGACAAUGGGCGCAAGCCUGAUCCAGCCAUGCCGCGUGCAGGAAGAAGCAUCUAUUGUGUGUAAACUGCUUUUGUACGGGAAGAAACACUCCUUCGUGAAGGAGCUUGACGGUACCGUAAGAAUAAGGAUCGGCUAACUCCGUGCCAGCCGCCGCGGUAACAC